rnacentral:rRNA from 1 species
AGAGUUUGAUCAUGGCUCAGAGUGAACGCUGGCGGCAUGCCUAACACAUGCAAGUCGAACGGUAACAGGCCCGCAAGGGUGCUGACGAGUGGCGGACGGGUGAGGAAUACAUCGGAAUUUGCCCAGUCGUGGGGGAUAACGUGGGGAAACUUACGCUAAUACCGCAUACGACCUAACGGUGAAAGCGGGGGAUCGCAAGACCUCGCGCGGAUGGAUAAGCCGAUGUCGGAUUAGCUAGUUGGCGGGGUAAAGGCCCACCAAGGCGACGAUCCGUAGCUGGUCUGAGAGGAUGAUCAGCCACACUGGGACUGAGACACGGCCCAGACUCCUACGGGAGGCAGCAGUGGGGAAUAUUGGACAAUGGGGGCAACCCUGAUCCAGCAAUGCCGCGUGUGUGAAGAAGGCCUUCGGGUUGUAAAGCACUUUUAUCAGGAACGAAACACGCAAGGUAAAUACCCUUGCGGACUGACGGUACCUGAGGAAUAAGCACCGGCUAACUUCGUGCCAGCAGCCGCGGUAAUACGAAGGGUGCAAGCGUUACUCGGAAUUACUGGGCGUAAAGGGUGCGUAGGUGGUUUUUUAAGUCCGUUGUGAAAUCCCUGGGCUCAACCUGGGAAUGGCAGUGGAUACUGGAAAGCUAGAGUGCGGUAGAGGGUAGUGGAAUUCCCGGUGUAGCAGUGAAAUGCGUAGAGAUCGGGAGGAACACCAGUGGCGAAGGCGGCUACCUGGACCAGCACUGACACUGAAGCACGAAAGCGUGGGGAGCAAACAGGAUUAGAUACCCUAGUAGUCC